rnacentral:lncRNA from 1 species
AUACUAGGCCAAUUUGCAAAAAUUUACUAGUUUUGGACUUUUGCAAAAUAGACUAUCUUUUUCGUUUUUACAGAUUUGAUCCGAUUUUUCAGCAAACUAACCAAAAUAUUCUUGUACUUUUUUCUCUUUUCUUUUUUUUUCGUUCUUUUUUUCUUUCUCUUCCCAGAGAGCAGAAGAGGUGGAGGCGGAGGCGGAGGCGGAGGCGGCCCGUUUCGGUUUUGUCCGUCGUAUCCUUACCCUCGCCCGCGCACCCCCGCAUUCCUCGCCGACCCUCCUCCACCGACUUCGACAACGACGCCUAUCUCACCCUCCCUCCUACUCCUUCUUCUUUCUCCUUCGUCUUUUCUUCUCUGCCUGCCUUCCUAGAUCUUGCUUAAUCUCUCAACUAUUUUUCUCUCAUCUGAAUCUGUAAUAUUCGAGUCGAAUCGAAGACCAUCAUCCUCAACGCCGUCCUCGUCUCAACUCGGUCUCCAUCACCAA